AUAUAUAUAUAUAUAUAUAUAUAUAUAUAUAUAUAUAUAUAUAUAUAUAUAUUCCUGUGCAGCUAGAAAAGCUGGCAGAUUGUGGGUAUACAGAAUUAUACACGCUACUUAGUUAGUUACAGCCACUUAGUUUAAAAAAAAAAAGACAUCAUGUGUAUCUACAUAGUGGCGUUUAUGCCCUACCAUGCAUCGUGGAUAGCUAGUGAGACUACCACAGUCAUGUUGAUGAAAGGGAACAAUAGCUGUGUCUCAGUCAACAACGUCUGUCUGGCUUGGGCCAUGUCUCACUCUUUUUGUGUAUAUCUCUGUGUGUGUGUGUGUGUGUGUGUGUGUGUGUGUGUGUGUGUGUGUGUGUGUCCCCUGGACAUGAACUUGAACUUGAGACAGGCGGCCAGACACCAUCUGUGCACCAGGGGUAAUGAAUUCAGUGCAUUCAUGGCUGUGGAGCAAGCCUAGGCCACCACCACCCAUUGAUGAGCAGAUGACUCCUAUAGUCUGAGUUAGCUCUUCAUCACUAAUAGAAUUCAACAUUACCAGCUGGUAGUAGGGGGGAUUGUUUUGUCUGUUUCCCUAAAUGAGUAGCGCUGUGCAAGUGUGGUGGACCUUACGUGUAUGCCUGCAUUGUGCAUCCUUGUAUGCGUCUGCAUGCCUGUCAGUGUGUGAGCAUGUAUGCAUGAAGGCCUCCAUGUUUUCCUGUUUAUCUUUGUCUCUCCAUAUAGCAUAUGCAAAUUAAUUGACACGGACCUCUUUUCCUCCCCAUAUGUUGGUCUUUUCUCCAAUAAAGCGCUGGCCUGCUAUUUUAACAACACGACUGUGCUGAAUUCAUUGCCUUGAUAAUUGAAUGAGCCAGUUCAGUAUUUCCCCUGAUAAAGGGUAGUAAGUGAAUGAGGCAUAAACCUUAAACAAGCCAGGCACAAUGUGAAUUCCUGCAGGCCCUCCUUCUCCUACUCCUCCCUCUCUUCUUCCAGCUCAAGCUUCUGUCACAAUCACAUACACAUACACACAGACGCAUGCGCACACACAAUAAACUUUUCCCUCUGGUUGGUGUCGCCUUGGCAACGGUAGGUGAGAUCACCUUGCGCAUGGCAGCAUCAGUCCCUGCCAAUGCAGGACAGGUUCCUAGUUUCAGCGUGUGUGUUUGUGUGCGUGUCUGUGUGCGCAGGUGAAUACAGAGUGUUUUAUGCAAGAAACUAGAAUGCCACCUACCCCUGUCUCCAUGGCUUAGCGUAAACACAGCUUUUUGUGUAAGGUUACAUCUUUUUGCUUAAAUCCCUGACAUUUGUUAAUUGAUUAGCUUCAGGUUUCUUCUUGUUUCCUCUUUUUUUUAAAUUCAUAAACUGAAGUCAUUAUGGUAAUCUAGCUCGUGAAAAAUUCAUAAGCGUCUCGAUAUAUAACACAAAACAGAGUCUGAGAUAGCAAAUUCGUGUUUUACAGACACGCACGCUUAAAAGUGUCACUAACUUCACUAAGGGUGUCGCUGCUGAUUAACAGGGAUCUGAUCAGCCACUCUCCAUAACAGACCAGCCAGCCAUAACUUGCCAAUAAUCCACUAAAGAAUGUCAUGGCCCAGCCCUUUUUAAUGACCGACAUGUUAGUCAGACACCUCACUUAACUGUCAAAUGUCUGUUAUGCAACAUAAUGGGAUUGAGUUUGAAAGCAACACAUUUUUGUUGUUUGUAUGGUGUAAUCCUGCCUUUGUCAGCAACUAUGAGCUCUGUUAAUAUUAUCAUUAAUCUUUUUUAGUAUGAUGUUAGAAAUAAAAUGUAAGUAGACUGUCAAAUUAUUUGACUAUGUUUAAAAAUUUCAUCUUCAAAACUUCAAAACUGGAACCAAAAUGAGUUUACAUUCAUCAUUUAAAACUAUCUUAUGAUAAUCUGAAAAUGUUCUGAGCAUGCG
ensembl:lncRNA